rnacentral:lncRNA from 1 species
AGGCCUCCUCACUCUUUCCCUGGCCCAGGGUCAGCAGAAAGUGACGAAUGUCAGUGGCUUGUCGGUGGCCUCUGGGAGUCGGGGUCUCAGAGAAACACCUAGCCAAGGCCAGUGUUUCUGCAGGGGUGGGUCAACUGUACAGGGGGCCUGCGACAGCAAAUCACCAGCUUUCUCUGAAACACACACCCCUCUGCCUGCCUGUUCCUGAUUUCAUCAUCAGAGUGUGCUGCCCAGGACCAACUUGAGGGAUCGAAUGUCAUCACAGCUCUGACCCGCCCUUGUUAUAGGCAGCACGCCCGUCUUCUUCCAGUGACACCGUUUGCAUCCCAAGGACAGGACUACUCUCUGGACUUCUGCCCUCUUUUGUGCCAUGUGGAGUGCUCCUCAAUAAUGCUGGGUGACUCACUUGAGCGACCUUUAUGCCCUUUAAUGUGUCUGAUAUUUCCCUGCUCAGAGUCGCAUUCUGUGACUGGCCAGGCCAGCUCUUGGAAUUGUUAACGAUGACAUUUUUUCCUGUUUCAUCAAUGCACCAGGCGUCUUCUUAUUUCUGGAUGGGUUCCAUUCCUCAUGCUCAAAUCCCUUCUAUGAGGUUUUCACAGGGCUGGAUCAUUUCCAUCCAUUGGUCUUACUUGGUUCUGGUGUUGAACUUUCUCACAGGCACCUUCCAUGACUGCCUGUGUCACUUGAGGGCAGUAAUAGAAAAAUCAACUCAAACUGGCUUAAAUAGGAUGCAAAUCUAGUGGCUCACAUAUGUGGCAGCCCAGAGGCAGUGAGAGUUUCAGGACCAGGCAGCUUGAUUACAGCAUCAAGGGCCCCUGUGUUCUCUGUUUUUUGCAGCCAUAGUGUUGGCUUCUUCCCAAGACUUAUUUUUCCCAUCAGUGUCACCUGUGCUACAAGCUCCUUCAGUCACAUCUAUUUUUGAUAUUUGUGGGUACCUAGGAGGUGCAUAUAUUUGUGGGGUACAUGAGAUACUCUGACACAGAUGUGCAGUGUGCACGGAUCACAGGGAAAUGGGGCAGCCAUCCAUCCCUUCAAGCAUUCAUGAUUUCUUUGUGUUGUGGACAUUCCCGUUGUGCUCUCUUAGUUAUUCUGAAAUGUACAAGAAAUUAUUGCUGACUAUAGUCACCCUGUCAUGCUAUCAAAUGCUAGACCUCAUUCGUGGUAUCUAACUAUAUUUUGUACCCAUUAACCAUCCCCAUCUCCCACCCCCUACCUUUCCCACUACCCAUCCCAGCCUCUGGUAACCAUCCUUCGUCUAUCUCCACGAGUUCAAGUGAAUUAAUUUUUAGCUCCCACAAAUAAUAUAGAAUAUGUGAA